AUUGAACGCUGGCGGCAUGCCUUACACAUGCAAGUCGAACGGCAGCACGGGUGCUUGCACCUGGUGGCGAGUGGCGAACGGGUGAGUAAUACAUCGGAACAUGUCCUGUAGUGGGGGAUAGCCCGGCGAAAGCCGGAUUAAUACCGCAUACGAUCUACGGAUGAAAGCGGGGGACCGUCGGGCCUCGCGCUAUAGGGUUGGCCGAUGGCUGAUUAGCUAGUUGGUGGGGUAAAGGCCUACCAAGGCGACGAUCAGUAGCUGGUCUGAGAGGACGACCAGCCACACUGGGACUGAGCCACGGCCCCGACUCCUACGGGAGGCAGCAGUGGGGAAUUUUGGACAAUGGGCGAAAGCCUGAUCCAGCAAUGCCGCGUGUGUGAAGAAGGCCUUCGGGUUGUAAAGCACUUUUGUCCGGAAAGAAAUCCUUGGCCCUAAUACGGUCGGGGGAUGACGGUACCGGAAGAAUAAGCACCGGCUAACUACGUG
rnacentral:rRNA from 1 species